UCUAGGGAUAAGCAGGGAGCCGCAUGUGAAGGAGUGCAACGCACGACGCACACAUGCGAGCGAGUCACUUAUGCCGGAUAUGACUGAUAGUAUAUGUUGAAAGACAUNUAGUAUGAGCGCAGAUCCGGCGAAGUAGAGAUACAGUAAGGGACUCAACCCAAUCACUUAGGUCGGCAUUCUGGAACAAUCAAUUUUGCAUUGUUUAGUUUUGAGAGGCCAUGUGCUUCUCUCAUCUGGAAUGAAUCAGAUGAAGCUCGUACCUUGACAACUGCAUAGAAAAGUAUUGAAGAAAGUACCUCUUUUUUUGUAAGAAAAAAGGGAGUACCUUAACGAACCGAAGAAACUCUAAUAUAUACAAGGUGAAGACAGCAGGAGCCGCAAGGUGAGAGCUGAUCUUAAAAAGACGUAAGUCAAGUAAGUAAGGGCAUACGGCGGAUGCCUUGGCCAUAUCAGCCGAAGAAGGACGCGAUAAGCUGGCGAAAAGCUGCGGU
rnacentral:misc_RNA from 1 species